GGUCUCAUAGUUCAAUGGAUAGAACAAGUCUCUCCUAAAGAUUAGAUCGGGGUUCGAUUCCCCGUGAGACCG
rnacentral:tRNA from 1 species